GGGCUUUGACCAUGUCUCCCGAGUUAUCUCAGUACAUAUGGCGCAAGACGAUUUCACGUAUCGAGGUCAGAGCGGGAUCGGGUGUCUUCACGUCUCGCUGUGGUGCC
rnacentral:rRNA from 8 species